UACGUAGGUGGCAAGCGUUAUCCGGAUUUAUUGGGUGUAAAGAGCGUGUAGGCGGGAGCGCAAGUCAGAUGUGAAAACUCAGGGCUCAACCCUGAGCCUGCAUUUGAAACUGUGUUUCUUGAGUGCUGGAGAGGCAAUCGGAAUUCCGUGUGUAGCGGUGAAAUGCGUAGAUAUACGGAGGAACACCAGUGGCGAAGGCGGAUUGCUGGACAGUAACUGACGCUGAGGCGCGAAAGCGUGGGGAGCAAACAGG
rnacentral:rRNA from 1 species